ensembl:lncRNA LINC01990 long intergenic non-protein coding RNA 1990
ACACUUGGCAGUAUCCUAACUUCUUCACUCUUGUCCACAUUUGUCUUGGCGCUCUGGGGAAGAAGAAAACAAACUCAAAGAAGCAAUUUUUCUGGAAACACACAAUUGCAGAAAGAGAUUCAGAGAGGCUGUUCCUGGUUUCUUGGCUAAGGUCCUUUCUACUAUCCAGACUACAUUGGCUCAGUCCAGGAGGAGUCAAAGAAGGCUGGAGUGCAAUGGCGCGAUCUUGGCUCACUGCAACCUCCGCCUUCCUGGUUCAAGUGAUUCUCCUGCCUCAGCCUCCUGAGUAGCUGGGAUAACAGACAUGCAUCACCACGACCAGAUUUGGAGCAUCCUCUGGCUCUAUUGCUAACUACCUGUGUGACCUUGAAGAAAUGCAUUAACCUCUGUAUCUAUGUUUCCUCAAAUUUAUAUGGGGCAAUCAUUCCUAUGAUUGCUUUGAAAAUUAAAUAUGGAAGUGUCAACAAAGCAUAUGGUGGAGGAUCUGGUGCUCAAAGAAUAUUAGUUAUCUUCCUUAAGGAACUUAUAAGGACACUGCAGCCCAGAGAAGAAACCUGCAAAGGCCGUGUUCACACACUCACAAGAGAUAUGGCUGUGAUUUGGAUCCAGAUGUGAUGGGCUGACAACAAAACUCCUGUGAUACCAUGAAGUCUUCGGGAGGCAGAAUUGAAGUGAACAUGAAGUUUAGCUUAGAGAAGAAAAGAAUAAAUACAUACAAAACAUUUGAUGGUGAAUAAACAGAAAAUGGUGUAUUCAACAGAAUUUGACUCAGCAAUAAAAAUGAACCAAACUAUGGAAAACAACACCCAACAACAGGAAGAAAUCUCAAAAUAAUUAUGGUGAGUGAAAGAGGCCAGACCAAAAAAAAAAAAAAAAAAAGACUAGAAAA